AAAAAAUUAGUUAAAUUAUAACAUCAAUAUGUCAAAUUGAAAUUAUUAUUAUUUAUAAUAUUUUUUA
rnacentral:tRNA from 1 species